rnacentral:rRNA from 1 species
UACGGGAGGCAGCAGUAGGGAAUUUUUCACAAUGGGCGCAAGCCUUAUGAAGCAAUGCCGCGUGAACGAUGAAGGUCUUAUAGAUUGUAAAGUUCUUUUAUAUGGGAAGAAACGCUAAAAUAGGAAAUGAUUUUAGUUUGACUGUACCAUUUGAAUAAGUAUCGGCUAACUAUGUGCCAGCAGCCGCGGUAAUACAUAGGAUGCAAGCGUUAUCCGGAUUUACUGGGCGUAAAACGAGCGCAGGCGGGUUUGUAAGUUUGGUAUUAAAUCUAGAUGCUUAACGUCUAGCUGUAUCAAAAACUGUAAACCUAGAGUGUAGUAGGGAGUUGGGGAACUCCAUGUGGAGCGGUAAAAUGCGUAGAUAUAUGGAAGAACACCGGUGGCGAAGGCGCCAACUUGGACUAUCACUGACGCUUAGGCUCGAAAGUGUGGGGAGCAAAUAGGAUUAGAUACCCUAGUAGUCCACACCGUAAACGAUCAUCAUUAAAUGUCGGCCUGAAUGGGUCGGUGUUGUAGCUAACGCAUUAAAUGAUGUGCCUGG